AUUACGCAAUGCGCAUGCUUGCUUUCGGUUAGCUGUUCUCGAUGACGUCACGGUUGACUUAUAUUCGCCCGCGCCUUUGAUUGUGAAUUCGAUUUGUAUUUUCGGGUGUAGUAUUAAUUGUGAAAUUUUAUAUUUUUUAAAAUGAGUUAUGCAGUGUUCGGAUGCAAUAAUAACAAUGUUAAAAAUAGUGCGACGAAAUGGAGAUUUUUCCAUUUCCCUUGGGAUAAAACAGUACUAAAAUAGUGGAUUCAUUUUUGUGCACUUCGCGCCAGAAGCCAUCGAAAGAAAUUUGCAGUUUGAAAUGGUUCGCGGAGUCUAACGAAGUUGCUACCUAGCGCUUUUCUCACGUUAACCAGACUAACUCCUGCAGACGCUAAUGAAGGGCAGAAAAGGAUGAAGUCUCGUUUAAACCAGGACGUUUUAAAAAUUUGUUUGGCGAAAUCAGGCUAAAAGGCGGUCUUCACGAUUACCCUGACAGGAAGAAGUUCCAUCAAGACAGAUGGAGGAAAUGUUGAAGUCGACAACACCCCAGAUAUGGAAGGGAAUUACUUAUCUCUAACCGGCAUGUAUGUAUGUUUAUUAUAUUUUUGCAAGUAAUAUUUUUCAACGUGUGUCAGUUGAUCUAAAUUCCGCUGACCCAAUUGAAAAAAAUUAUGACUUGAAGAUUCUCAACAACGACGGGCCUGUAAAUUUGGCAUGGUACAUCUGCCACAAACUUGGUAAAGACAACCCCGAAAUUUGUGCCAAUUCAGAAAAUUGUUCGUCUUAUACUUGAGUGGAUCACCUAUCUAAAGGAGGACUUUCAAAACCAACAGAUAUGUUGAUGGAGCAUAUGAGAGCCUUGCAAGCAGCAUUUGACGACUUAAAUGGUACUGAUUUGCAUACACAUAUGUACAAAUGACGUCCAGAAGCACUUAGAUUUAAGUAAUUUUGUUAAUUGUAGCAUCAAAGUAAAUUAUUGGUUUUCAGAGCUAGAAUGUAUUUUAGGAUUUGUUCUUUAAAUAAAAACUUGAUUGAGAAUAUGUACAGCAAAAAAAA